rnacentral:rRNA from 1 species
GCCAGACUCCUACGGGAGGCAGCAGUGAGGAAUAUUGGUCAAUGGGCGGGAGCCUGAACCAGCCAAGUCGCGUGAGGGAAGACGGUCCUACGGAUUGUAAACCUCUUUUGCCGGGGAGCAACGGGGUCCUUGCGAGGGCCCGAUGAGAGUACCCGGAGAAAAAGCAUCGGCUAACUCCGUGCCAGCAGCCGCGGUAAUACGGAGGAUGCGAGCGUUAUCCGGAUUUAUUGGGUUUAAAGGGUGCGUAGGCGGAAUAUCAAGUCAGCGGUAAAAAUUCGGGGCUCAACCCCGUCGUGCCGUUGAAACUGAUGUUCUUGAGUGGGCGAGAAGUAUGCGGAAUGCGUGGUGUAGCGGUGAAAUGCAUAGAUAUCGCACAGAACUCCGAUUGCGAAGGCAGCGUACCGGCGCCAGACUGACGCUGAGGCACGAAAGCGUGGGGAUCGAACAGGAUUAGAUACCCCCGUA